rnacentral:rRNA from 1 species
GACGAACGCUGGCGGCAUGCCUAACACAUGCAAGUCGAACGGAACUUGUUGAAUGAAGUUUUCGGAUGGAUUUUAGCAAGUUUAGUGGCGGACGGGUGAGUAACGCGUGAGCAACCUGCCUUUCAGAGGGGGACAACAGUUGGAAACGACUGCUAAUACCGCAUAACGUAUCGGAACCGCAUGGCUCUGAUACCAAAGAUUUUAUCGCUGAAAGAUGGGCUCGCGUACGAUUAGAUAGUUGGCGGGGUAACGGCCCGCCAAGUCGACGAUCGGUAGCCGGACUGAGAGGUUGAACGGCCACAUUGGGACUGAGACACGGCCCAGACUCCUACGGGAGGCAGCAUGGGGGAUAUUGCACAAUGGGGGAAACCCUGAUGCAGCGAUGCCGCGUGAAUGAUGACGGUCUUCGGAUUGUAAAGUUCUGUCGUUAGGGACGAUAAUGACGGUACCUAACAAGAAAGNUCCGGCUAACUACGUGCCAGCAGCCGCGGUAAAGUCGCGA